rnacentral:tRNA from 2 species
UGGGUUGUGGCACGGCGCUACACUGGGGGAGUAGAGGUCGGAGGUUCAAAUCCUCUCGCCCCGACCA